rnacentral:rRNA from 1 species
AUGCAGUCGAGCGGGGUUUUCGGACCUAGCGGCGGACGGGUGAGUAAUGCGUAGGAAGCUACCCGAUAGAGGGGGAUACCAGUUGGAAACGACUGUUAAUACCGCAUAAUGUCUACGGACCAAAGUGUGGGACCUUCGGGCCACAUGCUAUCGGAUGCGCCUACGUGGGAUUAGCUAGUUGGUGGGGUAAUGGCUCACCAAGGCGACGAUCCCUAGCUGGUUUGAGAGGAUGAUCAGCCACACUGGAACUGAGACACGGUCCAGACUCCUACGGGAGGCAGCAGUGGGGAAUAUUGGACAAUGGGCGCAAGCCUGAUCCAGCCAUGCCGCGUGUGUGAAGAAGGCCUUCGGGUUGUAAAGCACUUUCAGCGAGGAGGAAGGGUUAGUAGUUAAUAGCUGCUAAUUUUGACGUUACUCGCAGAAGAAGCACCGGCUAACUCUGUGCCAGCAGCCGCGGUAAUACAGAGGGUGCAAGCGUUAAUCGGAAUUACUGGGCGUAAAGCGCACGUAGGCGGUUUUUUAAGUCAGAUGUGAAAGCCCCGGGCUCAACCUGGGAAUUGCAUUUGAAACUGGAAAACUAGAGUGUGUGAGAGGGGGGUAGAAUUCCAAGUGUAGCGGUGAAAUGCGUAGAGAUUUGGAGGAAUACCAGUGGCGAAGGCGGCCCCCUGGCACAACACUGACGCUCAU